rnacentral:lncRNA from 1 species
AGGAAGAGCGGAUCCGUCGUGGGGAUGACCUGAGGCUGCAGAUGGCAAUAGAGGAGAGCAAGAGGGAGACUGGGGGCAAGGAGGAGUCAUCUCUUAUGGAUCUUGCUGACGUCUUCACAACCCCAGCCCCUCCACAGGCCUCAGACCCUUGGGGGGGCCCGGCAUCUGUGCCUACUGCUGUCCCUGUGGCUGCUGCUGCCUCAGACCCUUGGGGGGCACCUGCUGUCCCUCCAGCUGCUGAUCCUUGGGGUGGUGCAGCCCCCACGCCAGCCUCCGGGGAUCCUUGGAGGCCUGCAGCCCCUACAGGGCCCUCUGUUGACCCUUGGGGUGGGACCCCAGCUCCUGCAGCUGGAGAGGGGCCCACAUCUGACCCGUGGGGAAGCGCUGAUGGUGGGGCCCCUGUCAGUGGACCCCCAUCUUCUGACCCCUGGGCACCUGCCCCAGCUUUCUCAGACCCUUGGGGAGGUUCACCUGCAAAGCCCAGCAGCAAUGGCACUGCAGCAGUUGGGGGCUUUGACACUGAGCCCGAUGAGUUCUCAGACUUCGACCGACUCCGCACUGCCCUGCCAACCUCUGGGAGCAGCACAGGGGAAUUGGAGUUGCUCGCAGGGGAGGUUCCUGCUCGCAGCCCCGGGGCAUUCGACAUGAGUGGGGUUGGGGGAUCUCUGGCUGAGUCUGUGGGGAGUCCCCCUCCUGCGGCAACCCCAACUCCUACCC